UACGGGGGGGGCAAGCGUUGUUCGGAAUUACUGGGCGUAAAGGGCCAGUAGGCGGCCAACUAAGUCGGAUGUGAAAUCCCCAGGCUUAACCUGGGAACUGCAUCCGAUACUGGAUGGCUUGAAUUCGGGAGAGGGAUGCAGAAUUCCAGGUGUAGCGGUGAAAUGCGUAGAUAUCUGGAGGAAUACCGGUGGCGAAGGCGGCAUCCUGGACCGACAUUGACGCUGAACGGCGAAAGCUAGGGGCAG
rnacentral:rRNA from 1 species